GACAGGGCUGGUUCAUCUGUCAAAUGUUAACGCAGCUGUCGUAAGACGAGCUCAGCCAAGACAGAAACCUCGCGUUGAGUAAAAGAACAAAAGCUGGAUUGACGUUUUUUUUUUUCAAUACGAGGAGUAAGUUUACAGAGAAG
rnacentral:ncRNA from 1 species